ACGGAAGGCAGCAGUGGGGAAUAUUGGGCAAUGGGCGCAAGCCUGACCCAGCAACGCCGCGUGAAGGAAGAAGGCUUUCGGGUUGUAAACUUCUUUUAAGGGGGAAGAGUAGAAGACGGUACCCCUCGAAUAAGCCACGGCUAACUACGUGCCAGCAGCCGCGGUAAUACGUAGGUGGCGAGCGUUGUCCGGAUUUACUGGGUGUAAAGGGCGUGUAGCCGGGGGAGCAAGUCAGAUGUGAAAUCUAUGGGCUUAACCCAUAAACUGCAUUUGAAACUGUUCUUCUUGAGUGCUGGAGGGGCAAGCGGAAUUCCUAGUGUAGCGGUGAAAUGCGUAGAUAUUAGGAGGAACACCAGUGGCGAAGGCGGCUUGCUGGACGAUAACUGACGCUGAGGCGCGAAAGCGUGGGGAGCAAACAGGAUUAGAUACCCUGGUA
rnacentral:rRNA from 1 species